AAAGUCGUAACAAGGUUUCCGUAGGUGAACCUGCGGAAGGAUCAUUAACAGACUCUGCUAGUCAGAUUUCUACCCUGUGUGAAUUGUUCUAACGACUUGGUGUUCAUGCUGGUGAGAGGGUUUGAGUUGGGGGUCUUGGUGGUAUUUGUGAGGGUUUUGUUACCCUCUAUGGAUACCCCAAUACCCUCUGUUGAGGCUUCUGUUGAGGCCUCCAUCAGACCCUCUAUAGGACCCUCUUACGAGGCUCUAUCGAGGCCUUAUCAGACCCUCUUCAGUCCCCAUUCAGACCCUCUAUAGAACCCUCUUACGAGGAUUCUAAUGAGGCUCUUAUGAGACUACUAGCUAAGCACCCUAUUACCCAUCUACCCUUCUAACUGAGACAGACCCUACGUAAAGACUAGAAAACUUUUAGCAACGGAUCUCUAGGCUCUU
rnacentral:misc_RNA from 1 species